CAAAUCUGCAACACAGUUUUAAUAAGGUAAACUGCUCAGACUAUGUUACUUCACUAACAAAAGGUUUUUUGCAGACUAACCUCUUCUUCGACAGCUGGAGCGGCGUCUUUAUCUGCCAGCCGCGUACGGCAAGGGAACGCCCUCAACACUGUAAGCACUGAGGAACAUGGAAAAUACAUUUUGAGUGUUUAUAACCUCCAAAGUUUGUACAGCUGUUAAAAAAAAUGUUCACACUUACACUGGGUGUUAGUGUCCCAUCGUCCCCCUAAAUAUCCCACCACCUCGCUCGUGGUCAGGUGACAGUGAAAAUCCUAUAAAUGGAGGAGAAUAAAAAGGUUUAUACUGGCUUCAACUGUUGACACUCUAUCAUCAGUAUUGAUUUGACUCUUUAUCAGAAAAUCAUAAAUCCAUGAGCACUUCAUACCAUUAGCAGCAGAACGUUGCUGGACACUGCUACAUUAAAAGGCUGGAAGCGGUUGAUCGCAGAAAAGGCAGACAGUUCUACGAGAGUGUGAGGAUCCCUGUCAAGACAAACACAGGAAUACUCCGGUACACUUUGUUUUGGAAGAAAGUGCAAUAAAUGUUGUUUAAACUCUAAAACUGUCGCAUAAAGAAAGAAACAUUAUAUUUGUAAUGUAAUAAUUACCUUGCAGCAUCUCUAGUGCCAAGAGUGCAAUACCUGACUGGAAUUCUCUCUCUGUCUCUCCUCUGCAUCAGGCCAAUGUCUGGGGAAAAAAACAAA